AAGGUAACACCUGCCCAGUGAAUAAUUCAACGGCCGCGGUAUCCUAACCGUGCAAAGGUAGCGUAAUCACUUGUCCUCUAAAUAGGGACCUGUAUGAACGGCUAAAUGAGGAUUAAUCUGUCUCCUUUGAUCUAUCAGUGAAACUGAUCUGCCAGUACAAAAGCUGACAUAAAAACAUAAGACGAGAAGACCCUGUGGAGCUUUAAAUUAUAUGACAAAACAACACAUGUCAAACAAUUUUAAGUUGGGGCGACUUCGGAACAAAACAAAACUUCCGAACAUACAGAAUAUUCUCACCAAGGCCAACAAGCCAAAACAAAACAUGACCCAGUAUUACUGAGUAAUGAACCAAGUUACCCCAGGGAUAACAGCGCCAUCUUCUUCAAGAGUUCAUAUCGACAGAARGGUUUACGACUCGAUGU
rnacentral:rRNA from 1 species